GCUAUAGCUCAGUGGUAGAGCAUUUGCUUGGCACACAAAAGGUCCCAGGUUCAAUCCCUGGCAUCACCA